rnacentral:rRNA from 1 species
CGAAGGGUGCUAGCGUUGUUCGGAAUCACUGGGCGUAAAGCGUGCGUAGGCGGCUUUGCAAGCCAGAGGUGAAAGCCUGGAGCUUAACUCCAGAAUUGCCUUUGGAACUGCAUGGCUAGAGUGUCGGAGGGGAUAGCGGAAUUCCUAAUGUAGCGGUGAAAUGCGUGGAUAUUAGGAGGAACACCGGUGGCGAAGGCGGCUAUCUGGACGACAACUGACGCUGAGGCACGAAAGCGUGGGGAUCAAACAGGAUUAGAUACCCUGGUAGUCCACGCCGUAAACGAUGGAUGCUAGCCGUCGGGGGGUUACCUCUCGGUGGCGCAGCUAACGCGCUAAGCAUCCCGCCUGGGGAGUACGGUCGCAAGACU